rnacentral:tRNA from 1 species
GCGGCUGUAGUUCAGUGGUAGAACGUCUCGGUGCCAUCGAGAAGGUCAUCGGUUCAAGUCCGAUCAGCCGCU